AACAAAUUCCAAUAUUAGAUGACAUCUCCACUACCUAAGAUGAAAGAUAGGUUAAAUCCCCCAAAUCUAUCAUAUAAGAAAAGUCUACCAUUUGAGACUUUCUUAGGCUAUCCACAUCAGCAUCUGUUCCAUGGUUAAUCCACAUCAGCUUUGGGGGUUAAUACUGAAUUUUUGAUCAUUUCACCCUCCCAGCUUCUCAUGUUGUUGCAGUUACGCAUUGUUCAUCAUUGUGUGCCUAUCCACGUUCCAAACAGUUUGCAGACAUAAAUGGCCUCAUGUAAUGGUUACCAAACUUCAAUUCCAACCCUUCUGCUUCCUCACCUUUUCCAAUUCUUUUCAAUUUUACGGCUCCUCCUUCAACCUUCAUCAAACCACAUAGCAAAAUAACACCUUCCUGAGAAUGAGAAAACAGAGAUAACAAAAAAAUCGUGAGAGAGUUUGCGAAGAAACCUCAACCAAGAAAUCUGUUGUUAUUGAUGUGAACAGAUUGAACCGUUCCAGAUCUCUUAUCAUCGUCUCCGACCGUCCUCAUUAAGCAACACGAAACGAUGAGAAUUCCGGAAACAAAAACUCAGAGUGACUGGAUAAUUCUUCAAGUAGAACAACCACUUUGAUAAAAGUUUGAAAUUUAAACGUUAAAGAUUUAAGAAUGAAUGGUGUUCUUGAAGAUUGUUGAGAACUGAGAUGGAGAUGAAGUUUGAGGAUUUGUUCCUUCUUCCUCUGCAUCUUCAUACAAAAUUGUUUCUUCUUAUCGAUUUUUUUUCAAUUCUUUUGGAUUACUUACGUAAUUGAUUUCCUGUUCACGGCUGUGUUGCUUGAGGUUCAUCGACGAUGGAUGACUUCACGUUAUGGUGUAUGCGGCUGUGUCGAUCUUUGCCGGAAGGGUGAUGCUCGCGGUGAUUGGUUUUGCUAUCUGAUGAUCCUUCAUAGUGGUCGGGUUUGAUUAAACGUUGUUGUGUUGUUGAGUCGGUAUGUGCGACCACAAAGUUUUUAGGGAGUGGAGUUUGACUGAGAUAUCUGUGGAGUGAGAGAGGACUGAGGUUAGAGAGAAAUCAGGGAUUGGAGGUGGACUCAGAAGUUGAGGGAAUCGUGGGAUUGAGGAGGCUCAAAGUCCCUAUUUUCCAGGCUUUUCAAAUGUGAAUCAUGGGGCUGUGAUUCAAAUCUUACUGAUGUACAUUUUUUUGUUUUCAAUUGGUUCUCGAUGUCAACACAGAAGGUUGAUCUCAAUUGAAUUUUUUUUACUUGCAGGAUAACAUAUUGUCAAUGGAUGAAUGAACUCCAACUUCUCUUCAUGACAGUGUCCUUCCUUUCUAUAAUCUUCAAGAACGACGACAUGUUAUACAUGAGAUGCAGUGGUCCAGAUUUACUUGGAUAAUACUGGUGAUCUGGAACUUAUUGCAAAAAGCCUUGAAUCUUCUGACCUCAACUUCUCAAGAUAAGGUAUACGGGGGAAAGAUUACCCCAAUACAAAGAGGAGAAGUUUGGGCAUCGGAUUUUGGAGCCAAAGCAAGCUUUCUUUUUCAUUGGGCUUCUAAUUUCUUCGUCUUCUCUCUCUUUCAUGUUUGAUUUUGAUUUAGUUUUCAAAGUUCCAGGUUUCAUGGUGUUGGCUCACGCAAAAGAGGAAAGAUCCAUCACCGAUGCAGUUUCUGAUGAUGCGACGGUGUUUUUUAUUACUUUGUAUGAUUUGUUAAAUUCUGUUUGGAUAAGUUGUGACCUGAUUUUGAUGUGGGUUUGUGCAGGUUCGAUGAUGAAGCACAAGUUUGCUUGGCCAUAAAAAAGAAAGGAUGGCAAUGACAGUGACAGAGAUUGAUUGGUUCUUUGUAGUAUGGUAUUGUACAUUUGAAUGCUUUUGUCUAUUUCAAUACUGUUGGAAUGUUUUUGUCUUUGAAUUGUCAAUUAUUAUGAGGGUUCGGUCUAUUUUCUGGUCUGGAUGCUUUUGGUUGUGAAUUGCAUUGAAGUUGGUUUAGAGUUGAAUGUGUAAGGAAUGUGAAAUCUGGACCUGUCGUGGUUUUCUUUUGAAUGUAUGAUAGCUGAACGAUUGUUUUGAACUGUUAGGUUUGAAUUUGGGGUGUUAAAUGUUGCUGGUAUUGGAAUUGAAAUAAGGGGAUGCUAGAUUAGCAAUGUUAGUUUGAAUGAUUAUAGUGUAGAAUUGGUGGGAUGAUGUCUCUUGGGAUAUCAAAGCUGUAAAUUUGAGAACAUUAGGAAGAGUGGCUCUCAUUAUUACAACUUUGUCUGAAACAGUGUUGUCGUUCAAUACUAUUCUGAAUCAUGACGCUGAUUAUGCUCCUCCUGUUGCUUCUCAUGAUACCAUUCGAAUUGAUGCGGAAAUGGAGAUACCUCUUUUGAGUCUUUCGUCAUAUGAGGAGAAGCUGGCUAAAGUGGCACAACAGUGGCAGAAUACUAUUACUGGUGUGGGUCAAAGGUUUAGCAGUCUACAUGAGUUUCGAGAGACGUUGUGUAAAUAUGCUAUUGCUCAUCAAUUUGCAUUCAAAUAUAAAAAGAGCGAUAGUCAUCGUGUGACCGUUAAAUGCAAAGCAGAAAGUUUGCUAUGUGUUAAAAGCAUUAGUAGGUUAUUUUACAGGGACUAAGCACAUUUAACCUUAUUAAAAAUGUGAAAUGACUUGAUAUCUGUGUUCUGGCAUUUUAACAGAUUGGGAAAGGAAGGAUACUAAUUGAAGGUGAAAGAGUACCCUCUUGGCCUAUGGAACAACCGUUCAGAACUAUUUAGUAGCAGCUUCUCUUGGGAUUUAUUUAUAGUUUCAUCAUCUUUUGUUGUCUAUGUUUUUGGAUUUGCCCAAAUAUUUGAAAAAAUGACUUGAAGUUGCAGCCUAAAAUAAUAGUUUUUUAUCUACUGAUGAUAAUAUGGAAUAUUGAUAUUAACUUGUGACCCAAACUUUGCUUUUUCUUUACUUCCUACUAUUGAUUAUAUGCCUAACUAGCAACUUCAUAAUUUUGUUAUUCAGGUUGAUGCCAAGAGGGGCAUUCUCAAGAGAGGACCAACCAAUUUCUGCCACUUCAAGAACUGGAAAUUCUGAUUCUGGUUUGAAUUCAGGUAAUGGUGGAAAUAUGAGGACCAAAAAGAUAUUUGUUGGAGGGUUACCCCCCACUCUGACUGAAGAAAAUUUCGUCAGUACUUUGAGGCAUAUGGACAUAUAACUGAUGUUGUAGUCAUGUAUGAUCAGAAUACUGUACGAUCAAGAGGAUUUGGGUUUAUUACAUUUGAUACUGAAGAGGAAGUUGAUAGGGUUUUGCACAAGACAUUUCAUGAUUUAAAUGGUAAGCAAGUAGAGGUAAAGCGUGCACAUCCAAAGGAUGCCAAUCCUGGUGCAAGUAGUCGAAUGAUGGGUGGUGCUGGAAUCCUGGUGCAGAAUUGCUAAGCAAAAGAAAUUGAGAAGGAGAACUACUGCAUUUUAGAAUCUCAAAUUCAAAUGCUAUUAGGUCGUAUCAGAAUCCAGAGUUUCCUCAAAUUGCAGAGGAGAAAAUCUUAGGCAUUGGUGCCAACAAUAAACAGCCUGUUCUGAAAUGGGAGAAUAAUAUGGCAUGGCCUGGAAAACUCAUUCUUACUGAUAAAGCCAUCUAUUUUGAGGCAGUUGGCUUACUGGUAAUUAAGAGAGCCAUGAGAUUGGAUGUUACAUAUGAUGGAUUGAAGCUACCUUAUCGGCUGUGACAACGAACUUGGAAAAUUACAUACUAGCCAUCCUGAGGCCCGUGACAAAGUUGGUGGCAGGAGCAUUAUGCAUAUAGACGGUCUCCGAAAAUUCACGAUGCUAUGGCUGCAUAAGACGGAGGAGGUUCGAGCUGAUAGAACUCAUUAUGCAAGAAAUAUAACAGGAGACAUAUAUUAGUCCGGGUGGAUCAGUGAGAUGUAUGGUUACUCAUUUGGUGCGGCUGAGAUGAAACUAAAGCAUACUAUAAGCAGUGAGAUACUGAUACACCCGGGAUAUGUUCCCGUGCUGAACGUCAAAUAUCGAGCUUUUCAAUAUGGAUUGCUAUUCAGUGUCAGGAAUUGGAACUUCGACAAAGCAGGCUGAAUAGGUCUUGUAACAUGUUCCAUCUAUGGUAAUCUACAUAAUUGACGUGUCUCAUAUGGAUUACAAUUUACAACCACUUAUUUUAUUUGAAGUAGUCUCAUAUAUUGAUUACAAUCACUUAUUUUACUUGAUGCAAUGAAGUCCUGUGUAGAUAGCUUCUACAUAAGGUGAAGUUAUGGAACACGGAAUCUGGAAAGAUUUUCCUGAUGAUUUAUUUGAGGCGGUAAUUGCACAGCUUGCUAUUGCCACUUUUUCCGUCAAUGAAGUUCUUUGCUGGCUUCUCAAAGCUUUUCUCAGCAUUGUGCCCAAGUCCCACAAGAAAAUUCGUGGUUUUACACCAUAACGCAUGAAAAUGUGAAUUCAGGAGCCAUGUAUGACCCUUCUUUGAAAAAGUGGCAUCAUCCUUCUAUAUCAGCAAUGCCCACAAAGUUGAUUGUUUUGCCAGCUCGGUUAGUAAGGGUCUGGUCUCGCGUUGUUGUAGGGAUGAUCUAUUAGCUCCCAUAAGAAUAACAGUGAGAAAUAUUUGUUGCAUAAAACUAUUUCAUGAUAAAAUGAUAGUGUACUGUAAAGGUAUAUUUGUAGAAGCGUAUAUGAUUAAACUCAAUUUUAUUUUUGACAUUCAACUA